AUCCAGGAGACCACAAUCAAUUCCAUCAUGAAGUGUGACAUGGACAUCUGCAAAGACCUGUAGGCCAACAUGGUGCUGUCCGGUGGCACCACAAUGUAUGUAGCUAUCGCCCACAGUAUGCAGAAGGAGAUCGUCGCCCUGGCACCCAGCACCAUGAAGAUCAAGAUCAUCGCACCCCCAGUGUGCAAGUACUCGGUGUGAAUCAGCUGCGCCAUCCCGGCCUCACUUUCCACCUUCCAGCAGACUUGGAUUAGCAAGCAGGAGUAUGACGAUUGCCGAGGGAGCCAGAAAGAACAUGACCUCAGGUCUGGAUUGUAGUGCACAAACGAAGCUGAAGAUUGCUGAACAGCCAAACAGAUGUCAAAAGAUGUUUCACUCUCUACUAAACACAUACACUCUCCACUGAAAGCUGGGCUUGGUCCAAAACCGGGGUAGUAAGUAAAGGUGUGAUAUUGGCGAUAGACAUUAGUGAGAAAUAUCAGAAGCUUUACAAACAGACCUGUUUCCAAUCUUGCUGUGCAUCAUUAUGGAAUUUACUCAGCUUCUCUGAGCUUUGAUAUCCUUAUCCAUAAAAUGGAGUCUAGAAGUGCUGCCUGAUAAAGUUGUGAGCAUCAAAUGAGACAUGCAAGGCGUAAUUCAAAACAGCACAGAGGUGAUAAUAAAAUAAAAUUAGACCGUGUUUUUUAUUCUUCUUUAUUUGUACAUAUUAAUUAAUAAUAUACAGAAUCAGUGUUUGGUAUGUGGGAC
rnacentral:lncRNA from 1 species